ACAACUUUCAACAAUGGAUCUCUUGGCUCUCGCAUCGAUGAAGAACGCAGCGAAAUGUGAUAAGUAAUGUGAAUUGCAGAAUCCAGUGAAUCAUCGAAUCUUUGAACGCAUCUUGCGCUCCUUGGCAUUCCGAGGAGCAUGCCUGUUUGAGUGUCAUUAAA
rnacentral:rRNA from 1 species